GAGGGUAUAGGUCAGUGGUAGAGCACGUGCUUAGCAUGCACAAGAUCUUAGGUUCAAUCCCCAGUACCUCCA
rnacentral:tRNA from 1 species